UUUAUUUUUUGGUUCUAGUUAUUACUAGAUUAAAAGGGAAACAGGUUUAAAUCCUGUACGGUCCCGCCACUGUAAUGAGGAUGAAAGCAAAUUGCCACUGAAAUAUAACUAUAUAUUUUGGGAAGGUAUGUGAGUAAAGUGAUUCUAAGUCAGGAGACCUGCCAUAAAAUAAU
rnacentral:ncRNA from 1 species